rnacentral:lncRNA from 1 species
CAAAGGGGAAGUUAAGAAAAGCUGUAUCGAUUGUUGAGAUCUGGCGACUUGCUUAAAUUUCAUCAGCCUCACUUCUAUGGACUCUCAGGCCUCACGUGUACCAGCUCUCUGCUCUCCUUUGCCUUGGGACGUUCCAUCCCUGGAAGUUUCCCUGCCCACAUCUUUGUAGAGAGUCCAUUCUCCAAGCUUCAGUGUGUCAUCUGUUAGGACUAUGACCCACCUGGUACAUUACCUCAGGGCAUUCAUUUCAGGCUCCUUCUAAGUGGUCAAGAGAAAACACCAACAUUUUUGUAAUGGCCUGCAAGGCCUUCCAAGAUCUGCCUCCUGCAACUCAGCUUCUCCUGUGCUCUUCUUCUGGACUCACUCUGCCUCAGCAACGCUGGUCCCUGUUGCCCCACCAAUAUGCCAGGCCAUGAGAGAAGCAGUACCUUAUAAUGGUUCCUUGUUCAAAGCACUCAAUAUUCCUAGGAUGUGGUCUCCCAGCUGACUUCAUAACUGAAUCAUCAGUAAUUAAUUUCAUUGUUCUAUUAGGACUUUACUGAAGACUCUAAGGAGGACCUGUAUCUGUUGGGAUCCUUAGGGCAAGCCACAGAAACAAGCUUUGGAUACUUGAAGCAGAAAAUGGAGUUAUUGAAGACUAUUGUGGAGUUUACUGUGAGACAGAGAGCCAGGCUGGGGAGCUGUACCACUUAGAAUGAGAUCCAAACUCACACCAUAGUUCCAUCCUUGAGGUCACCAUGUUGCUGCCACCCCUCCUGCCACACCGCCACUGAAGCUUUGGAUGCUGGAUUCUGGGCACAGCUGGGAGAAGUGUUGCUUAUUACCAUUUUAAUAUGUUUUCUUUCAAGACCUUUUCAAAAUAUACAUACGUAUUUUUAUUUCUAUUCAAAAUGGGAUACAUUUUUGAAGGUUAGCAAUAUAUUGUGAACAUUUUCUUUCCAUGCUCAGAAACAUUUUUCUAUAGUAUAAUUUAUAGUGAUAUAUAGUAAACUAUCGCAUAGACCUACCAUGGUUUACCUAACAAAUCCCAAAUCAUUUGUGCCAUUUCUAAAUUUUUAUUAUCUUAUGCAAUGCUUUAAUGAACAUCCUUGCAUUUAUAUUUUAUACAAUUUUAGAAGUUGAAUUACUGGUUCAAAAUACAUGGUGAUUUUUAAUUCUUCUGUUGAAUAUUGACAAAUUUCAAAACUGAGAGUUAUCUUGAAGGAUAGAGUACAUGCCCAGGGUUCUUUUUUAAGAAAUAAUUUGUAAUGUGAAACAGAAUAGGCUAAAUGUUUUUUAUUCUCUUAGUCCUACUCUGUCAUUCUGCCGAGUUUCACUUAUUUGGAUUCAAAUUCUAAUUCCAGCCUACCUCUCUUUUUAUAUAAUUGUUAGGAGGAUUAAAUUAGAUGCAUAAAAUUGCUGCUUACUACACACAUUGCACAAACUAAAAACUUUUCAAAGGUUAACUGUUUUUCUGGUUUGUUUUUAGGAGACAGGUUCUUGCUCUGUUGCCCAGCCUGGAGUGCAGUGGUGUGAUCACGGCUCACUACAGCCUCAUCCGGCUGGGCUAAAGUGAUCCUCUUGCCUCAGCCUCCUGAGUAGCUAGGACUACAGGCACGUGCCACCAUACCCAGCUAUUUUUUUAAAAAGACAUUUUUGUUGAGGCCGGGUCCCCUUUGUUGUCCAGGCUGGUCUUAAACUCCUGGCCUCAAGCAAUCCUUCCACUUCUACCUCCCAAAGUGUUGAAAUUAGAGGUGUGAGCCACUCCACCUGACCCAAAGGUUAACUAUUAUUAUUGUUGUUAUUAAUCUGUUUUUUUCCAUUCAUUUCCUCAUUAGUCAACUUUUAUCGUUUCAAUGUUAUUUUAUUGUUUUUCAAAGACUCCUUAUAGUCACAAUAGGUGCAUAAUAAAUUUUACCCUUUAAGGACACUGAGGUUCCAAAUGAAAAUGAUAUUUUUAAGGUGAAACAAUUAUAGAUAUAAAAACAACUUUUUUUCUCUGAGUACUAGAUUUCAUAUUAUCCUUAAUGUCUUUCUAGGAAGUAACCGAGUGAUUUCUCAUAAACUGGAAAACAUUAUUUCCACUGAUAUUCUUACAAAUAUUUAGGAUUAAAAAAAUGUAUUUUAAA